UUCUUUAGGCCCGAAUCUAAAGUAUAGCCUGCUCCAUGAUUUAAAUAGCCGCAGACAACUGUGCUAAGGUAGCAUAAUCAUUAGCCCUAUAAUUGAGGGAUAGAAUGAAGGGCUGAACGCAACGACACCAGUCUCUUAAAGAUAUCAUGAAAUACCAAAUGAGGUAAAAAUGCCUCUCAUACUAGGUUAGACGAUAAGACCCUACUAAACUUCUCAUUUUGCUGGGGCGGCAAAAUAAUAAAACCUUACCUUUCUUCCCCACACAACCCCGAAGGAUAGACUAGUUACUAUAGGGAUAACAGCGCAACCUCUUUUCCGAGUCCUUAUCUAAAAAGAGACCUACGACCUCGAUGUUGAAUUAACACUUCUCAAUAGCGCAAUCGCUAUUAAAGUUGGCCUGUUCGGCCAUUAAACUGUU
rnacentral:rRNA from 1 species